GACACAUCACAUGCAUCCGUGUUGACGGGGAGGAGCGAACCCAUGGCGAUCCUGGCGAGCCGCACGGACAACGCGUGCGAUCCGUUCCCAUGAGCCACACCUUCAAUUUUCCACCGGGGACAGCCAUUGCAGAGUAAAGGAGGGGGAAGAGAUGGCGCUGGUGGCUCUGAGGUCGUGGGGGCGUUUCCAUGACCCCGGCCGAGCUCGCCCCUGCCGCGGGUGGCGACCCUGAUGUUGGCCGGCCUGCUUAUCCUUGUCGUGUGAUUUUGAUCUGGCUGGAGCGCGGUGCCCAACCUGCCUGUACUGGUGAAGGUCAGCGCUGGCGUGGCGCCGAUGACGACCACAAGCAUGAACAAGGCCGAGGCCCUUCACCAAGGAUAUGGCGAUGGAGAGGAAGGGCCGAUACGAAAUCAGUGUUUAGAGUGGUGGAUCUGCAUUUGUGCGCAGCCAUGAGUGGGUUCCAUGAACCUCCCUCUAGCUGAUUCCUGCAUGCUUAAUUAUAUAUUUCCUCAAUUUUAUGAUUAUGACGAUGGAUCCAAAGAGUCAUAGAGGAUGAAGUACAACAGGUACCUCUGAACUCAUCUUCAAAAGGUGCAUUCCUUAGCCUGUAUGUUCCAUCUCGAGACCAUUUUUCGAGGAAUGCCUCUGUAGAACAGUUAUAUUUGCAAGUUUAGCAGAGAUAUGAGACAUAACGAAUCGUUUAUCUUCUUUGCUCGAAUUGUUUUAAAUUCUGAUCUAGAGCUUAUUUACAGUUCACAUUUUGGAUGGCAGCCUGCCAUUAUUGGAUAUGGAUCACUGAGGCAAAGACAUUGUCAACCUUGUUGUGACCGCCUUGCCAUCCAACACGUGUCGUGGUUGUCACCAUCAACCACGGAGGGACUACUCAUGAUGCUGAAGUGCCCGAGCCUAUAAGUUUGGUGUUGUAGGUACUGAACCUGCACAUGCAGAUUAGUGGAAGUACAUGAUGUGCUCUCCCUGUUUUGCAUUUUUUAACUUGAUUUUCUCCAUCAAUUGCGAUCAGCGCAAUUGACUGAAUAGCAGCUCACUCUCUGAUCACUCGAUGCAUUGCCCUUUGCUAAUUGUUUGGUUCUUCACAACCUCACAUUGCAUAUUCAGUUGCAUUGGAAUGGUCAUUUUUUAUUCGAUUGCAGGAUAGGUGAAGAGCUCUUUGUGAUAGAGGAUAAGGAUGCAAUGCCAAAAUCCAUGCAUUUUCUUCAAAUCUUUGAACUGCAUUCCUGAAUAGUACUUACUAGCAUCAGAUAUAUUUUAUCCGAUCACUUGCAUAGAUGGAGUAGCAUAAAAAUAUUUGGCACUCACUUGUUGAACUUGGUCGAUCAAACUUUUGGAGCAGAAAGUUGAACUUGGCAAUCAUGAUGUGAAAUUUUUCGAUUUACUUCCGUGUGCCUCCUCAGUUUUGUAUUACUGGAAGUGUAAUAGAGUAAUUCAAAGUUUUCUAUAACUAGACAUCCUAUUAUUUCCUGCGACAAUGCUAAGUUUCAAUGCCAUUAAUACAUGUGUUCUCUAAAAUACCUGUAGUUUUGCCAAUCUACUGGGUUGUGUAAAUAGUUCAAUAGCCUUAAGAGCUUGCAAACUGUAGACAAGAAUAUCAAGCGAUGCCAAGGUGCAUAUCGCUCGUCAUUUCUUCCUAAGAAGGUAUGAUUUAUAAAUCAAAGAUUAUUGACAUUUCCGAUGAAGUAAUAUUGGUGAAGUACUUAUGGAAGUUGCUUUGUUGUGGCCUUAAGUUUUUAUUCAUUACUCAAUGUGCCUCCUGAAUGUAUGUGCAACUAAUUGACUAUUUUUAGUCCUCAGGUGAGAGCCUUCUACAAAAUUAAGUUUGAAGUGUAAGAUGACCGUGGUAGCCAGGAUCAAGUUCCAGGAAAAUGCCAGCAUGUUGGUGCGGGGGACCAUGGUCCUGGCGAAGGUGCGUGACAAUGUGCUCGUGACUGACUGCUGGGGGCAACAUGGUGGAUGGCGCGUAUCUUGGCAUCCGGUCCGCCCCCACCGGCAGCUGCAGUAUUUUUCUUGUUGUGAAGCUCAGGUGAGCUGCUUCCGUUUCGUCUUAUGAGCGAUCCUUAAGCUGUGUUCAGCUGUUUGUUUUGUCCAAGGUGCUCUAUUUUCUAUUCAGAAAUAGUACUUAUACUUUGAAUGAAAGUAUGUCAUAGCUUUAUCUCUAUUAAUCAUGCCAUUUUUACUGCAAGAUGAACAAUGGAAUGGAGUGGCAGGACCAACGACAUCAUAAAUUUCAGUAUUGGACCACAUGCUGGUUGCUUGGGCGUACUACAAAAAAAAGAUGACAGACCUGGAGUGUGAUGAGUACAAUGGAACAUAUACAACACAGCUGCAAGAGGGCUACUACCUACCAAUCUAGGUGUUGGUACUCCUUUUGACGUUCAACCACAGUUAUUGAAUCAAGAGCAUGACUGUUUUUUAGAUUUUCACUUAGAUUUUGAGUAUGGUUUACCUGAAUUUUGUCAAGUAUAAGGCAUAUUGGUUGCAACGCACCAGUAAGCCACAUGUAAUAUAUAUCUUCUGAAUUACUAGAACAUGAUAGCGCGCGUUGCGGCGC